GAGGAGUUCUGACUGAGAAGCAACAAUACUGCUGUAAGAAAACCACUCAGAAGGAUGUAACAUAUGAGAGUCUCCACAGGAAAAGAGAUCUCUUAGAGAAGCUUCUCAUGCUGUGCAGCUAAAGGAUAUGGACAGAAAGAUCCAGGUUUCCAGAUGUGCCCAAAACAGCAAAGUCACCUUAUUAGGAUUAAACUUGUGCUGAAACACUCUCCCAAACUGGAGCUGAGAUCAGUGACCCUGCACUUUUCCUGUGGUUUGGCCACUCACUGCCAUCCUACUGGAGGUUGUGCAGUUCUGAAGAGGAGGAGCUGAGGUGGCUGUAAAGGAUAAACAGCAACAAAGAGCGGAACAAGGACAGGUUAAGCCAGACUGAAGAAUUUCCAUACAUAUUAAUUAUGACUGAGGUGAAGAGUCCUCCAAUUCACAUGACUCACAAAAAGAAGACCUAUACAAGUGCAACAAGUUUGUAAGGCUUAAGAAGAGGGAACAGUGAGGAAGAGCAGGCUGAAGUGCCUCCCAUCCAGCAUUCAGAUCCCUUAGAUAUGAUCUUGAGUUUAAGAAGUGGACUUCAUAAAAGAUACACUUGGUUGUUCUGAACACUUUUUCUCAAGAGCUUCUGAUUUCAGUGCAUGCCACUGUCAAUACCAGGUGAACAAUACCAAUAUUAACUUGUUUAUAAAGGAAAUCACCUACAAAAGAACAAGAAUUUAUGGUAGCUUAGCUUAUCAGCUGAGCAAAAUCACUGACCAAAUCUUAAAGACAUUUCCUCUGAAGAUCUCCUAUAUAACAAAUUAUUUUUAUGUAUUUGCAAAUGAUUGCCAGAUCAUUUCAAAGAUUGUUCCUGGGUGAGUGCCACAUAAUUAUGAAAAUUUCUACAGGGGAGAAGUAGCAGGCUUAUUAAAUUAUCCUUUCCCCUUUGCUUUGCAUGUCAAAAGCCUUGAAUUUGUUUAUAUAUAAUUUUUUCUUUUGCAGAAAGGGGAAAUAUUUUAGAUGCUGGUAAUUGAUGUUUUUAUGAAGAACAGCACUGAUGGUGUUUGGCCAUCUUGAAAUUUUCUUUUGGUUGUAGGACUUCUCCACUCCUGGAAUAGAAUACUGAGACUUCGAGAAUCAAUCACACAGCAUGAAUAAUGAGAAAUCUCUCAAAGCAAUAGUCAGAUUUGCAUAAACCAUUCAUUUGGUUUAUUUGAAUAUCCACCAAAUUAAUGCAAAUCAAAAGGAAUCCAUGGAUCAUUUACAACCAGGAAGGAGGGCUGAAACCAUUGAAUAGAUGACUUGAUAAAAAAAUGUUCAUGGCUCUGUCUUUCUAGAACAAAAAAGGGGAGACAGGUUGGAGCAAAAUCUACCAGGAAAUGAGCUUCUUGCCCAGCCUGACAAAGUUUCUUUCCAUAUAGGUCCUCCAUAUAGGUCACUCUAUUUCUUCCUCUGGCUGUUAUUUUCAAGAGGGUUUGGAGGGAGAGAGAGGAAAUCUGGCAACCCCAGUUUGCAACAGUGAGGGGGGAAGUAGUUAAAAACACAUGUUUAAUAGAUUUUUGCAAGAGGAAACCAGAGGCAAACACUUUCAAGAAAUAUUAAUUUCCACAGAUGCAUGUACUAAUAAUUUUUUUAUGGUAUACACUACAUGCCUGGGGAAAUCAGUUACGUGAGGGUCUCUUUAGGUACAUUCAAAACACGACAGCUUUGAAUGCAACUCAGAAAUAUGUGUUCUUGAAUUCUAUCUGUUCUAUUUCUCUUACUUUUCUUCUCCUGCUUGUAGAAGGUGCUGACAAUCCUCUGCUGUGAGUCUAUAUUCAAUUUCAAGACAGAAAACUCUUCCAGCUGUCAUACCUAAGGACAAAACUUAAAAUCAACUGAUAGUUUAUCAGGAGGUGCUUUUCAUUUAUCUGCUCCUGCCACUGCUCAGGCUUCUCAUUUCUUGGGAAUCUGUUAGUCAGAAAAUAAAAAAACAAAAAAAAAAUCCAAAAACAAAAAAAAAAACCCAAAACAAAAAAAAACCCAAAAAAACAAAAAAAAACCAUAUGCACCAUUCAGAUGUAGAUGCAAUUAAUUUCAUUAGGAAAUUCUGUGAUCCUGAUGUAAGAACAAUUCUAUAUAGGAUAGAAGAUCAAAUAAUGUUUCUCCUGCGAUAUUUAAACUAAAGAUGCAUGUCUCUGUCUAGUUACUGAUUAUUGCACUCUACAACAAAAAGCUUCCACCUGUUCUUCUCACUUUGGCAAUAUGAUAUCAACAGAGAUUUCAUGCAUGCCAAAAUAAUUACCCAAAUUAAAAGAUACAUAUUUAUUGCUUUGAUAACUCCCAUGGGUAAGGAGAGGCCACAGUGUACUUUGGAUAAGUCAAUCCCUAUCAGACAUGACUACUGGUCAGGCUGGUGGUCUCUGUGCAGUUCUUCAGCCUGGGCUCUUUCAAAAUGUCCAUAUUUGACACUCAUCAUUGCUUAAAGCACAUGCUGAUGCUCCUGCCAGCUGACUCCCUUCUUGCAGGACAGGAAUGAUCAGUGGGCUGUUCAGAGACCCCCAGAGAGACUCUUUGACUUAAGGCCUGUGUCAGCAGGUUAAACAGAUGGCUCUGUUCAGCAGCCAACAUCCUGCACAGCAGUCCCUGUGAAGAUCCUGAGCCUAACAGCUGACAAAACCUAGGGAGCUGCCAGUUCCACAGGGAAUCCCAUUUUUGGGGAGACAGGAAGGAAGAACCUCACUCAGGAAGUAGCUCGCUCACUCCUAGAGCAGUCCAAUCUUUUUAGGUCUUCUUCAUUGCUUCUAGGGUUCUUCUGGCAUCUGUUUGAUCGGGUGGGUUUUUUAAGGAUUACGGAUGGAAAUACAACAUGCCUGCUUCUCAUGGAGCUUAUCCUACAGGGUUUGGAGUAUGGGUGCUGUGUUAUUUGAAUUAAAUGAGUCUGUCCCAUUGCAUGCUCACAGAUGGGACCUUAUGUUAAGAGUUGCCAUUACUCUCCCUCACUGGUUGCUCUUCUUUCUAUACCUAAAUCUCAUCAGAGUAAGCCUCUGAAAACAUCAAUUCCUCUUUCCAAAAGGAACCAAAAACCCAAACACCUUUUCAUAUAUUCUGUGUAUUAUUUUAACAACAGCCUUCUGAUGAAAUGUCUAGUUCCAGGAAUACAGAAAGGAGAUGGCAUAAGAUGCACAGAUUUCUGAUUUUCAUCUUGAAGAGCACAGACCAUUUUUGUUUUCACUGAAGGCAAAUCAAAGGCCCAAUGACCUAACUGUAAUUUUUCUUUUCUUAUUUCCUUGUAUUUAGAAAGCAAGAACUGUGCCAUCCAAAUAGCAAACACAAGUACUUUUUAGGGAAAAGUUAAAAUUAACCCCCAUGAAAAUCAAUUUAAUAAUAUUUUAAAAAUAAUAGUCAUAUAAAACAAGCUGCUUAUAGAUGGAAAGCUGGUGAGUUUCCUGACUUAAGCUGCUAGAGACAUUGUUACUGGCAUCUGGAAAUUUCAUUGUUAUUAUGCUUUAUAUUUGUUAAACUAGAUCACAAAUGAGCUAUUUAUUUGUAUUUCUUUGCUCUUUAUUCUGUAAAAAAAACCUGCUGAGAUACACGCCAGAUGUCUGUCUCUGUUCUGUAUGACUUUAUUUCUCAUACCUGCAUUUGUCAUGGCUUAUUGCUCGCCUGACUGCUACUUCCUGUUGAUUUAUUGUGUAGUUUUACACAAUAAAUUUUUGUCAUAUUCUUCGUUCUCCCAGCUGUUUCUCAGUAGUCUCAAAAGAUGUGACUUCUAAGUGGUUCCUCUCUUAAUGUUCAUGUACUGUGCCUCCUAUUACAAAAAGACAGCCUUUGCCCACCUUUUGCAGAUAUGCAGCACUUAGAAAGCUUUCAGUCAUCAUAAGUGAACCGUCAUUUUCAUGUAUAUUUCUUCUCCUUCUGAAGCAGGAGGUCUCAUCAAUACAUCUUCUUUUGUCCUCCCAGAACUCACAAGCGUUUAAAUCAGCAAGGCACAAAUGAGAACAUUAUGGUAGAAAUCAACAGGAAAGCAAGGAAAAGAGUAUCAGUAAAAACAAUAAAUGUAAAUGAGUGAGAGGAAUGGCAGCUCCAGGGGGGAUUCCAGCCACCUGAAGUCAUACCCGCUUUGUGCUCAUGAAGUCUCCCUCCCUGCUGCAGAAGACUGGAUUUACAGCUCUCCUCUGUCUUCUCUCCACCA